GUGCAAUGUUCUUUGUAUCAGUAUUGGUCUUCACAGUAGCAUAUGGUGAUGGGCAAUGCUCGUCUAGGAAACCAUAAUUAGUUGGACAAAAACCUUCAUUAUAGUCACGGUCCACAUUCGGAAGUCUGUCACAAUUGGUAGGAACCCAGCCGAUCCGAUGCUUAUCAUUGUCAUAUAUCACCAGUUUAUCUUGUAAAAAAAUGUCUCCAAUUAUGUUGAUGUUUCCCAAUCCUACUUCACUACCAUUUAGAAUCCCCAAGCACACAUUUCCAUUUUUCGUGACAAUAAGAUAAUCUUCAGGUGGUAAUUGCAGCUGAACAUUCUUAGAUUUUGUAAAGCUUAGUGCUAAGGGCGUGAAGUAGCUCUUGACAUCACUAACAGAUUUGAAGGGUUUUGCACCUUUCCAGCAGAUUGAGAGGGCCUUCUCCUCUGGUGCAUCUUUUAAUGGCUUUCCAGAUAGAUCUUUCCUAAUCAAAUUAAGUGUGCUUUGGUAAAUUUGGGCACUGAAGUAAGUAUAAGAGCUCCCACUGUCAAAAAUCAAUUCUAGUCCCUUUAUGCCAGUGGACUUUCCACCAAAAAGAAGUUCUGCUGGUCCUGAUGUGUAGUGUUUGUCCAAUGAACUGCGGGUCAUUGGUGUCCAACUGAUUCCCGAAGAAGGGACAAGAUGAUCUCCAAAAAAUAAAAAUCCUCCCCCCAGCCUACUCAAACAGUGUCCUAUCACAUUCUUUAUUACACCCAGGUCCUGCAGUUGUGAAACAAAGCUUGUUUUGCCAUUGC
rnacentral:misc_RNA from 1 species